UCUCUGUCCAUCUCUUCUUCCAGGCCUUCGCGGAGGGCCUCAAAGAGCAACAGUUCAUGCCCUGGCUUGAAUGAAGUAGAAGCUGCAGCAGCAUCUUCUUUUGCAGCAACAGCAUUAGUGAUUAAUUGUUCAGCUCUUCCUCCACGUCCAUUCAAACCACUGCUUAAACGCCCAUCAGAUCUAGCCACAAAUAACCUUCCUUUCCUCUCUGACAAAGAUCUGCGAGAAUUAGCGAAAAGUGACUUCUUGGUAUCCAAAGAAUUGGCUGAUGUUAGUGCAGUAGCAGCACCAAUUCCUUGUAUAAUAGCAGCCAUCUAGUAAACCCCACAAAGAAAAUUAGCUUCUUGAUUCGAACAAACGAAGAGAAAAUGCAGAUCAGAAUGAUGAUUCAAAUGACCCUUACAACUAUAAAUAUAUUCUCAGUGAAUAGAGAAAAAAAUGAGUUGCGGCGAAGAAAACAAAGUGCUCAAG
rnacentral:misc_RNA from 1 species